GAAAUGCGAUACGUAAUGUGAAUUGCAGAAUUCAGUGAAUCAUCGAAUCUUUGAACGCACAUUGCGCCCUCUGGUAUUCCGGGGGGCAUGCCUGUCCGAGCGUCAUUGCUGCCCUCAAGCACGGCUUGUGUGUUGGGCCCCCGUCCCGGCGAAGCAUCAGCCCCGGGACGGGCCCGAAAGGCAGCGGCGGCACCGUGUCCGGUCCUCGAGCGUAUGGGGCUCUGUCACCCGCUCGUGUAGGUCCGGCCGGCGGCCAGCCCGACCCUUUAACCAAUCGACCUCAAAUCAGGUAGGGAUACCCGCUGAACUUAA
rnacentral:misc_RNA from 1 species